CAUGAAGCUGGAAUUGCUAGUAAUGGCAGGUCAGCAUACUGCCGUGAAUACGUUCCCGGGCCUUGUACACACCGCCCGUCACACCAUGAGAGUUGGAAAUGCCCGAAGUCAGUGACCCAACCACAACGUGAACUUUGUUCACGUGGAGGGAGCUGCCGAAGGUGGAGCCGGUAACUGGGGUGAAGUCGUAACAAGGUAAC
rnacentral:rRNA from 1 species